rnacentral:rRNA from 1 species
CUACGGGGGGCAGCAGUAGGGAAUAUUGCACAAUGGGCGAAAGCCUGAUGCAGCAACGCCACGUGUGCGAAGAAGGCCUUCGGGUCGUAAAGCACUUUUCUGGGAGAUGAGAAAGGACAGUAUCCCAGGAAUAAGUCUCGGCUAACUACGUGCCAGCAGCCGCGGUAAAACGUAGGAGGCGAGCGUUAUCCGGAUUCACUGGGCGUAAAGCGCGUGCAGGCGGUCUAGUAAGUUAGGCGUGAAAGCUCCCGGCUCAACUGGGAGAUGUCGUCUAAAACUGCUAGACUAGAGAGCGAUAGAGGAAAAUGGAAUUCCCGGUGUAGUGGUGAAAUGCGUAGAUAUCGGGAGGAACACCAGUGGCGAAGGCGAUUUUCUGGAUCGUUUCUGACGCUCAGACGCGAAAGCUAGGGUAGCAAACGGGAUUAGAUACCCGCGUAGUC